CUCAACUUCUCCCUCACUGCACUUUGGCUCUCAUGAAGAGCACGUUCACUCAUGUGUUCAAAAUAAACGAUAGCUGUCGUGCAAAGUAGCAAGUGAGCUGUAAAAAUAGCGAGCUUAGUGGCGGGGAAAAUGCGGGAGAGCUAAGUGAAGCUAACGAACAGCUAAGUGGAGCUAAGCGAUGCUAAACGGAGCUAAGCGAAGCUAAACGGCGCUAACCGUCGUCGUGGAACAGUCCAUUGUAGUGCGAGUGUGUGGAGGAGAGAUAAUAUAAAAACAGCAUUCAAAUGGCUUUCUUUUUUGUUUUGUUAUUUGUUUGUUUGGUAUGCUGACAUAAUUAUACAUGACGAAUAGUUGGGGGCAGUGCCAUAUAUUUAGAGAGUCACGACACUCCCAUAGGGAUCCAUUAUACGAUUUUACUUCCGGGUACUUCCGGGUUAUGGAGCCUUGGAUAGUUACAAACAUCGCAUUUGUCAUGGCGGACACCAUUCAUUUGAACGGCAGGCUGUCAAGUAUAUUCGGAGAGGCCCUUUGUGACAUACACUUAUCUCUUUGAUGCACAUGGAUUGAAUUCUCAAUCGCAGCCUAAUCUGCUCCACAACAUUGGAGGAUUCCAUGAGGGAAUCAUUCGUAGCCAAACGGAACACAUGCUCGACAUCCUUUAAGAGAGUGAAGACCUCAUCCGAUGGCCGGUGCUUCAACCAAUGCACACUGGCAUUGGUUGCAGAGUGAGAAGCUGGUGACCCUCUUCACUAUGCAUCCUGCCAGAUGUUGCCUUUUUGCCUGACAGCGUGGUCCCUGGUGCAUCUGGGCCUAGUGUUGUGGCGCCACCGCUGGUUCUUGAUUGGUCGGCACCCGGCUCAUCCACCCCUGGAUCACCUGGCCUGGAUACGUCAUUGUCAUUGUGCUCACUUUCGCCCAACCUUCCCACCUCAAUUUCUCCCUGAAUGUCUGUAACAAUAACAAGGCAUUCUUAAUUUUAUAUGCAGUCAGUGUUUUUACAUUUGCACCUAUUGUCAUCUCCAAAGUAAGGGUACACUACACUCCUAAAGGGAAAAGAAAAAAUAACGGACAUUACUGUUACAUGAAUCAAAUCAUCUGCCACAAUCAGAAACUGCUAUGGCAUUGCCAUGUGUCAACAGUCUGGUGAUAUCAUGGAGUUGGUUCUGCUUUGCUGUUGUAUCCACCAGAAAUGUUUAGUUAUAGGUGAAAAUUAAAUGCAUAAAUAAAGCUAAAUUAUGAAGUAACUAACAAUGAAGUAGAUCGAAAUUUUGUGUGUAAAUCCCAGGACAAUUCCUGACCUCUUGUAUUUGAAGCUGAAUGUAUUAAUAUGAAAAAUGUAAUUAUCUUAUUAGGAGUGUAGUUUAUCCUUGAAUUACUUGGCAUGGGAAAUGUUGUUGACAGCUGGUCUGUAUCAUACCCAAGUUUAACCUGGUGCAAUAUGUAUGGUCUGUUUGAAUUUUGGUUGGAGGCACACUCCUAAAGGGAAGUUUCCUCCUCUUUGGCUUCGAACGAUGAAUGAAAAUGGUUGGGACAGCA